GCCGCCGCCGCCGCUCUCCUUUCGGACCCACCCCAUUUUUUUUCGUGUCCACGCGAGCAAGUCGGCGAGUGGAGUUCUCAACGCUACAUACGCCCUGCCUGGCGCUCUCCCCCACCACUCUCACUCACUCACUCUCCCUCCCUCUCUCGUCUCUCUCUCCCUCUCCCUCGUCUCUCUCGGCAGUCGCCCGCCACGCGUCCCUCCGUUCCCACGCCCCGUGGCUCGCCGGCCAAGACGACUCCACGUCGCCCGACCCCGGCCCUGGGUCACCACGAAGUCUGCAUCAAGGGCUUGUCAGUGUGAGCGGUGAGCGGUGAGCGGAGGAGGAGGAGGAGGCGUGGAG